rnacentral:rRNA from 1 species
GAUGAACGCUGGCGGCGUGCUUAACACAUGCAAGUCGAACGGAAAGGCCCAAGCUUGCUUGGGUACUCGAGUGGCGAACGGGUGAGUAACACGUGGGUGAUCUGCCCUGCACUUCGGGAUAAGCCUGGGAAACUGGGUCUAAUACCGGAUAGGACCACAUUUUGGAUGGUGUGGUGGAAAGUUUUUCGGUGUGGGAUGAGCUCGCGGCCUAUCAGCUUGUUGGUGGGGUAAUGGCCUACCAAGGCGUCGACGGGUAGCCGGCCUGAGAGGGUGUACGGCCACAUUGGGACUGAGGUACGGCCCAGACUGCGAAGGGAGGCAGCAGUGGGGAAUAUUGCACAAUGGGCGCAAGGCUGAUGCAGCGACGCCGCGGGGGGGAUGACGGUCUUCGGGGUGUAAACUCAUUUCGCUAGGGACGAAGCGUUAUGUGACGGUACCUGGAGAAGAAGCACCGGCUAACUACGUG